CUCUUCCCAUGACAUUACGUUCUGUUGGCCUAGAGGUCUUAGUUCCAGAGCUCCCAGGCCUCUACAGUUUGCUGUGUCCCAUUAGUUUCUGAGACAGGUGAGAUGGAAACAAGUUUCUUGGGAAGGCCCCCAAAAAGCCCAUUGUCAUAGGAAGCACCUGGCUUCUAAUAUCUCCAGGGAGGAGACAUCAACACCAGCCCAUCGCUGAUACCCUUUGUCCUGGCCUCCGGAGUGCUCCCUGCACAGUCCCAAGUCUGCAAGAAGGGGGAUCUUUUCUUGAAAACCUACAGUGCUAAUAAUUGUCAAAAAUAUAUAAAUUCUACAUUUAAAAUUCAAAGUAUUCGUGCCUAUGGAAUGUCCCCAACACAAAGAAAUGAUAAAUGUUUGAGAUGAUAGAAAUGCUGAUUACCCUCAUCUGAUCACUCACUUUCUAUGUAUUGAAAUAUCAUUAUGAAUUCCAUGAAUAUGUAUAAUUGUUAUUAGUCAGUUAAAACAAAUAAAAUUAAAAAUGUUUGACGAUAACAAGAAAAAAG
rnacentral:lncRNA from 1 species